CUUUACUGUCACCAAUCUUCCUCAGGACUCAGAGUGGGAGUUUAGAGUUACAGCUGUUAACUUUGCUGGAAACUGUGAGCCCAGUCUGUGCUCACCAGCAUACAAAAUCCAGGAGAAGAUUGAGUCUUUUGCAAUUGAGCAGGAUGAGGAAUCACACCAAUCAUUUGUAAAUGAAAGCAGCAGUCAUGAUGUUGUCAAUGAGAAUGAAUUUUAAAUAGGACAUGAUACAGGGCCACUUUUAAGUGAUGAAGCUG